UGGGGAAUAUUGCACAAUGGGCGCAAGCCUGAUGCAGCCAUGCCGCGUGUGUGAAGAAGGCCUUCGGGUUGUAAAGCACUUUCAGCGAGGAGGAAGGUGGUGAGCUUAAUACGCUCAUCAAUUGACGUUACUCGCAGAAGAAGCACCGGCUAACUCCGUGCCAGCAGCCGCGGUAAUACGGAGGGUGCAAGCGUUAAUCGGAAUUACUGGGCGUAAAGCGCACGCAGGCGGUUUGUUAAGUCAGAUGUGAAAUCCCCGGGCUCAACCUGGGAACUGCAUUUGAAACUGGCAAGCUAGAGUCUCGUAGAGGGGGGUAGAAUUCCAGGUGUAGCGGUGAAAUGCGUAGAGAUCUGGAGGAAUACCGGUGGCGAAGGCGGCCCCCUGGACGAAGACUGACGCUCAGGUGCGAAAGCGUGGGGCAGC
rnacentral:rRNA from 1 species